UCACUUACCUAGCAGUGGGGACACCUUGAUCACAGGGUGGGCUAGUCCAUUGUACUCUCGUCUGCUGACCCCGGAGCUUUCCCCAAAGGUGGGAAACCCAACUGCAUAAUUUGCAGUGUGACUUUGCAGUUUUUCAUUUUCAUU
rnacentral:snRNA from 1 species